GGGCGGCGGGGGUGUCCCCUGCCCCGGAAGUACUAUGGCGUUACAGCCUUGCCUUCCGGGGCAGAUUGUCGAUCGUAGCCGCCCUAGGAAGGGACGCCAUUUUCCCUUUCUAGGAAGAGUGAGGGAGAGGAUGGGACUGCAAGGAGAGAAGAAACGGCGCAGCGCCUCCCCGCGGGGCCGCGGACCGAGGGGCGGUCUCGGGCCGCCGUGGGGUCGCUGAGAGACCUGAGGACAUGUCUUCCCUUUCGAGCACGGGGCAACCCCAGCGCCUUAAUAUGUCCUGGCCAUCUUAACAUGGAAGUUACAGUUCCAGGACAAGAUGUAAAAGGUCGAACAGAAAUUUUGAAAUUGGAUCUCAGUAAAAUAAAGUUUGAUCAGUCUGUUGAUCCAGACAUAACAGCUCAAGGUCGUGCUGGCUUUUCUGGCGCAGGUUGGAGAGUCUUGUGAACCAGGCUGCAUGGAAGGCGGCUGUUGGUGGAGAAGGCAGUGGUCACCGCGAAGGGGCUGGAGCUCUCCGCAGGUGAAAUCCUAAGGGGGCCUGAAUGUAGAAGCGUGGAAAUCGAUGACAAAAAUCAAACCAUCACAGCAUGUCAUGAAUCUGGGCAAGCUGUCACUGCACAUUACACUCAAGCUGCCGGGCCUGUCGGCAAGGCCACGGGCACGCUGCGGGGCCAGCACUGGCACAUGUAAUGUCUUGUAAUUUUUUCUUUUCUUUCAAAUAGCGCUCCCCAGAAGCUUAUGUAGGAAAUUGCUAAUGAAAAAACAUUUUUAAAAAAAGAAAAUGCACCUACUUCCUACAUUUGUUGAUACUUUCUUCUUUAACUUUCUGAACCAGCAUGAAGUCAGAAAUACUUGUGAAAUUUAAUAUAAUAAAAUUUUUUCUUAAUAUUUCAGAUACUAUGCCUCUUUAUUAUGAAAUUUAAUUCCACAAUGACAGCAAAGUGUAAUUCUUAAAUAUGUGUAAUUGCUCUUUUCCUCCCUUCAAGAGGCUACAUAUAACUUAAUAGAUUUUCAAAGGUUUUUUCCAUUGAAUACAAGUUUCAUUCUCAUGUUUCGAACUAUAGACAUUUGAAACAUUUUUGUGCAACUAGUGAUUAAACAGCCCUAUUGUAGCAUUACCUGUCUGUUAUUUAUAAAUUCAGUUUUGCUUUAUAAGGAAGUUUGCAUGUUUUACAUAUUGCUGGUUUUGUCAUCAGUCACCUGAUGACCAUCUCUACUAAAUGUGUAGCUUUUAGCAUCAUGCUAUUAAAGAUGUAGUGUAAUGAGAGCCAAAUGGUCAUUCUGGUUAUUAAUACAAAUGUUUCAAACUGUCUGAAUUUUUUUUUCAACUGCUAGGUGUCCCUGUUGCCUGAGAGUGACAGAUGGAAUGAAACUAGAGCUCAGCUCCUUGCACAAAUGGGUGUCAGUGUGGGAUGAGUGGCAGGGGAGCUGAUAUUUGGAACUGACCAUAUUACAACAGGUUGGCUAUCAAGCGUGGCUUUAGUUCAAAUUGUCUUUGCUGGCUUAAAGAUAUUUUAAAGAAUUAAGUUCUACAUUUACUUUAAAAUUUUAGGAGCCUCCAGUGAUUUUGAUAAUGCAACUAAACUAUCAGAGUGGAUGGUUACCAAAUUUGGAAUGAGUGAAAAGCUGCUAAGACAGUAACAGGCCAUCACCUCGUGAGGUAACUGAAUGACAGGACCAGCUGGUCAGCCUUUUCUAGUCACGUGAUGUGACAGGCCUGCUUGCCGAGCCUGCCCACUUUGCCCCAUUCACCUGCUUCUCUUCCGCACAUUAUGGCUCCGUGGAGAAACGGUAGCCCUGAAUGGUGCGUUUCUGGGCUUGGAAGAACUGCCGGGGCUCUCAGACGGUCCUCAGGACUGUACUUACGGUGCCAUAUUUUCUGUCUUGCUCCCACUUUGUUUCAAUCUUUUCCUUUCAGAAGAAUGAUGAAAUUUCUUUGACCUCCAAAGCGAAAAGGAAUCCUGUAAAUGAUGGAAGAGAAUGGAGCAGGGAGAGAGACUGAGCUGGUGCUGAGCUCCUGGCGGAGGCUGACCCCAAGACCCUCAGCUUGAGGCUGACCUGCACGCCCAUGUUCUCCUCAAAGGAACCACUCCGGACAAGAUGACUCUGACCUGUGAGAUGGAAGAUAUUGCCGCACAGCUGAUACUUAGUAAACACUUGCUGGUCAAAUGAAGUUGUAAAGGACACUGGCCCUCAACUGGCAGAGCCAUAGAUCUUGGAGUUAGGACCUACUGUGAUACAGGGAAACUGAGUCCAGAAACUCAAUCUGCUAUUGAAUAAGAAAUCAGAAUCCUUCUAAGGG